rfam:Camelus ferus unplaced genomic scaffold scaffold597, whole genome shotgun sequence.
GAGGGUAUAGCUCAAGUGGUAGAGCGCAUGCUUAGCAUGCACAAGGUCCUGGGUUUGAUACCCAGUACCUCCU